UACAGAGGUCCCAAGCGUUGUUCGGAUUCACUGGGCGUAAAGGGUGCGUAGGUGGUGAAGUAAGUCGGAUGUGAAAUCUCGGAGCUUAACUCCGAAACUGCAUUGGAAACUACUUUGCUCGAGGGUUGGAGGGGGGACUGGAAUUCUCGGUGUAGCAGUGAAAUGCGUAGAUAUCGAGAGGAACACCAGUGGCGAAGGCGGGUCUCUGGACAGUUCCUGACACUGAGACACGAAGGCCAGGGGAGCAAACGGG
rnacentral:rRNA from 1 species